rnacentral:rRNA from 1 species
AUACGUAGGUGACAAGCGUUAUCCGGAUUUACUGGGCGUAAAGGGCGUGUAGGCGGUCUUGCAAGUCAGAAGUGAAAUUCCUGAGCUCAACUCGGGCGCUGCUUCUGAAACUGCAGGACUUGAGUGCUGGAGGGGAUAGCGGAAUUCCUAGUGGAGCGGUAAAAUGCGCAGAUAUUAGGAAGAACACCGGUGGCGAAGGCGGCUAUCUGGACAGUAACUGACGCUGAGGCGCGAAAGUGUGGGGAGCAAACAGGAUUAGAUACCCUGGUAGUCCACACUGUAAACGAUGAAUGCUAGGUGUAAGAGGUAUCGACCCCUUUUGUGCCGGAGUCAACACUAUAAGCAUUCCGCCUGGGGAGUACGGCCGCAAGGUUGAAACUCAAAUGAAUUGACGGGG